UAAGGAAUAUUGGACAAUGGACGGAAGUCUGAUCCAGCCAUCCCGCGUGCAGGAAGAAGGUCCUCUGGAUUGUAAACUGCUUUUAAUAGGGAAGAAUAGCGGGGAUUUAUCCUCGUAUGACGGUACCUACAGAAUAAGCACCGGCUAACUCCGUGCCAGCAGCCGCGGUAAUACGGAGGGUGCAAGCGUUAUCCGGAUUUACUGGGUUUAAAGGGAGCGCAGGCGGAUUGUUAAGUCAGUGUUGAAAUUCCGGGGCUUAACCUCGGGACUGGCAUUGAUACUGGCGAUCUUGAAUAUAGUUGAGGUUGGCGGAAUACAACAUGUAGCGGUGAAAUGCUUAGAUAUGUUAUAGAACACCGAUUGCGAAGGCAGCUGGCUAAACUAUGAUUGACGCUGAGGC
rnacentral:rRNA from 1 species